UGUGCAGAGUGAAAGAACUCAGGAGAAGAGGGAUGUUCAGUGGGGGCCUGGGCUACAGAGACACCAGGAAGGAGGUGCCCAAGAAAACAGGUUUAGAUUUGGAAAUCAGGAGAUCUCUGGGGGCUUUCAAGAGAAUUAUUUGAGUGGUGGGUUGUGUAGACAAGAUUGCCACUCCUUGGGGGGCAUCAGGAUCCUGGAUCCAGUUGGUUGAUCCAGGGACACAAAGGUUCAUUUCUUUGAUUUCCUUCACGGGGACUCCGAAGGGCCUCCCCAGAGCCACAGCUUCCAGAGGGAUCUGACGAGGCCUCUGUGGAAAGCAACGCAGUUCAAGUUCAGUCUCUGCCUAAUCCUGUUUUCCUCACUCUCUCAAGGUGAGUGAGGUCUAUGGGGGUAAGCCCCCCCGCCUCCCCGUAGACCUCCUGGAAUGCCUGGAACAGCUCAGCAACCUGGGCACAGGUGGCUUGAGACAACCUAGCCAUUCGGGCCUGCUGCCAGAGUGAACGCCACAGGGAGGCCUGCCGGGUCUGGGGAGCAUGAGCUGGUCAGGCCCCCAGUAGACCCCUUGCAGGCUGAUCUCCAUCUCCAUGCAGAGUCUGUAUCCUAGAAAUCCAACCUGAGAUCCUGCGGCACCGAGAAAGGGAAGCUGUUUCAAGAGAUAGGAAUUGUCAGAAAAAGCCGGAGAAGGUGGUGUUAAAGGAAAACAUUGAGAAUGGGGAGUGAAGACGAGGGUUUUUCGUAGCAGAAGAUGGAUCUUCGAAAGCCAGGAGGCAGAGGAGAGCAACGCUGUCGGUGAGAUAAAGGAAGUUUUCAAAAACCUGCUUCUGUAACUAGUGGACAGGUCUUCUGGAUCCAAGGUCACCUGCUGGGGAGAAAGAGAAGCCUUUGGAUAAACAUCACAAGUUUUCCUGGAACAUGGAUUUUAUUUAAGAUUUUUUGGAAAGAAGGGAAUAAGGUUUUUACCUUUGUAAUGUUUUUACAAAUAUUUUCAAAAGUGUAACAUGUAUAUGUGCUCAUUUUAGAAAAUUUGAUCAGUAUAAAAUAUUAAAGAAGAAAGUAAAAGCUCAUUUGGAAUCUUAUCUGUUGGAAGGAAUCACUGUCUUGCUA
rnacentral:lncRNA from 1 species